rnacentral:rRNA from 1 species
UACGUAGGGCGCAAGCGUUAUCCGGAAUUAUUGGGCGUAAAGAGCUCGUAGGCGGUUUGUCGCGUCUGCCGUGAAAGUCCGGGGCUCAACUCCGGGUCUGCAUUCGAUACGGGCAGGCUAGAGUGUGGUAGGGGAGAUCGGAAUUCCUGGUGUAGCGGUGAAAUGCGCAGAUAUCUGGAGAAACACCGGUGGCGAAGGCGACAUCCUGGACCGGCAUUGACGCUGAGGCGCGAAAGCCAGGGGAGCAAACGGG